UUCUGAGUUGCAACUAGUUGA
ensembl:piRNA 21ur-436 ncRNA